UACGUAGGUGGCGAGCGUUGUCCGGAUUUACUGGGCGUAAAGGGAGCGUAGGCGGACUUUUAAGUGAGAUGUGAAAUACUCGGGCUUAACCUGAGUGCUGCAUUUCAAACUGAAAGUCUAGAGUGCAGGAGAGGAGAAGGGAAUUCCUAGUGUAGCGGUGAAAUGCGUAGAGAUUAGGAAGAACACCAGUGGCGAAGGCGCUUCUCUGGACUGUAACUGACGCUGAGGCUAGAAAGCGUGGGGAGCAAACAGG
rnacentral:rRNA from 1 species